rnacentral:rRNA from 1 species
CAGGCUUAACACAUGCAAGUCGAGGGGCAUCAGGAAGAAAGCUUGCUUUCUUUGCUGGCGACCGGCGCACGGGUGAGUAACACGUAUCCAACCUGCCCUUUACUCGGGGAUAGCCUUUCGAAAGAAAGAUUAAUACCCGAUAGCAUAAUGAUUCCGCAUGGUUUCAUUAUUAAAGGAUUCCGGUAAAGGAUGGGGAUGCGUUCCAUUAGGUUGUUGGUGAGGUAACGGCUCACCAAGCCUUCGAUGGAUAGGGGUUCUGAGAGGAAGGUCCCCCACAUUGGAACUGAGACACGGUCCAAACUCUUACGGGAGGCAGCAGUGAGGAAUAUUGGUCAAUGGGCGCUAGCCUGAACCAGCCAAGUAGCGUGAAGGAUGAAGGCUCUAUGGGUCGUAAACUUCUUUUAUAUAAGAAUAAAGUGCAGUAUGUAUACUGUUUUGUAUGUAUUAUAUGAAUAAGGAUCGGCUAACUCCGUGCCAGCAGCCGCGGUAAUACGGAGGAUCCGAGCGUUAUCCGGAUUUAUUGGGUUUAAAGGGAGCGUAGGUGGACUGGUAAGUCAGUUGUGAAAGUUUGCGGCUCAACCGUAAAAUUGCAGUUGAUACUGUCAGUCUUGAGUACAGUAGAGGUGGGCGGAAUUCGUGGUGUAGCGGUGAAAUGCUUAGAUAUCACGAAGAACUCCGAUUGCGAAGGCAGCUCACUGGACUGCAACUGACACUGAUGCUCGAAAGUGUGGGUAUCAAACAGGAUUAGAUACCCUGGUAGUCCACACAGUAAACGAUGAAUACUCGCUGUUUGCGAUAUACAGUAAGCGGCCAAGCGAAAGCAUUAAGUAUUCCACCUGGGGAGUACGCCGGCAACGGUGAAACUCAAAGGAAUUGACGGGGGCCCGCACAAGCGGAGGAACAUGUGGUUUAAUUCGAUGAUACGCGAGGAACCUUACCCGGGCUUAAAUUGCAGUGGAAUGAUGUGGAAACAUGUCAGUGAGCAAUCACCGCUGUGAAGGUGCUGCAUGGUUGUCGUCAGCUCGUGCCGUGAGGUGUCGGCUUAAGUGCCAUAACGAGCGCAACCCUUAUCUUCAGUUACUAACAGGUCAUGCUGAGGACUCUGGAGAGACUGCCGUCGUAAGAUGUGAGGAAGGUGGGGAUGACGUCAAAUCAGCACGGCCCUUACGUCCGGGGCUACACACGUGUUACAAUGGGGGGUACAGAAGGCAGCUAGCGGGUGACCGUAUGCUAAUCCCAAAAUCCUCUCUCAGUUCGGAUCGAAGUCUGCAACCCGACUUCGUGAAGCUGGAUUCGCUAGUAAUCGCGCAUCAGCCACGGCGCGGUGAAUACGUUCCCGGGCCUUGUACACACCGCCCGUCAAGCCAUGGGAGCCGGGGGUACCUGAAGUACGUAACCGCAAGGAUCGUCCUAGGGUAAAACUGGUGACUGGGGCUAAGUCGU